AGUGAAUGCUAGUGGUAUGCUUAACACAUGCAAGUCGAACGUAACAAAAUUAUUUGUUAAGUGGCGUACGGGUGAGUAAUGUAAAAGAAUAAAUAUUGUAGUACAGAAUAAGAAAUAUUUAUAUUUGUAUAAAUACUGUAUAAAAAAAUAAUUUUAUUUAAAUAAAGAUUAAUCGCUACAAAAUAAGCUUUUAUAGGAUUAGGUAGUUGGAAGUGUAAUGGACUAACAAGCCUAUGAUCCUUAGUUGGUCUGAGAGGAUGAUCAGCCACAUUGGGACUGAAACAAGGCCCAAACUUCCAUGGAGGGCAGCAGUGAGGAAUAUUGGACAAUGGGCGAAAGCUUGAUCCAGCAAUAUCACAUGAGAGACGAAGGCUUUAUGUCGUAAAUCUAUUACGUUAAGGAGGAUAAUGACGUGUACUUAAAG
rnacentral:rRNA from 1 species